rnacentral:rRNA from 1 species
CAGCGAUAAGGGAACCUCGAGUGCCAGGUUACAAAUCUGGCUGUCGAGAUGCCUAAAAAGCAUUUCAUAGCAAGGGCCGGGCAAGACCGGUGCCAGCCGCCGCGGUAACACCGGCGGCUCGAGUGGUAACCGUUAUUAUUGGGUCUAAAGGGUCUGUAGCCGGCCGGAUAAGUCUCUUGGGAAAUCUGGCAGCUCAACUGUCAGGCUUUCAGGAGAUACUGUCUGGCUCGAGGCCGGGAGAGGUGAGAGGUACUUCAGGGGUAGGGGUGAAAUCUUGUAAUCCUUGAAGGACCACCAGUGGCGAAGGCGUCUCACCAGAACGGACCUGACGGCAAGGGACGAAAGCUAGGGGCACGAACCGGAUUAGAUACCCGGGUAGUCCUAGCCGUAAACGAUACUCGCUAGGUGUCGGCCACGGUGCGACCGUGGUCGGUGCCGUAGGGAAGCCGUGAAGCGAGCCACCUGGGAAGUACGGCCGCAAGGCUGAAACUUAAAGGAAUUGGCGGGGGAGCAC